CAUAUACUCCGUCCGUUCUGAAUUACUUGUCGCAGAUAUGGAUGUAUCUAGAUGUAUUCUAGUUCUAGAUACAUCCAUUUCUGUUAUUAGUAAUUUGGAAUGGAGGGAGUAGUUA
rnacentral:pre_miRNA from 1 species